ensembl:lncRNA
AUUUUGCUUGAGGUUCCUGUGUAUCUGAGGUCUUCCAAAGUGCAUCGGGACAGCCUUCAGACAGCUUUGGAAGACUCCAGUCUCAAAGGGAAGAGAGAAAAAAACCAACAGGUUAAGUGGUGCCUGGAAUUAUUCCUGUUGGACUGUAAACUUGUCAGCACAGCACUGCCAGCCCAGAGCCACACACACAUUGCAGGAGUGAUGUGAAGAGGGGCAGAAGGAUACAAAGCAGAAGGCUCAGAGGUUGGAGCCGAAGGCUGGAGGUGGACAUCCAGAUCCAGUUUGACUUGAGAGGAGCCCUGUCACCAAGGUGAUCGUGCAGCUGGUUUUCCAAUGUUUCUAAUUCUCACAAUUGAAGCCAGCAGCCCUAUUUGUCUCUUCUGCUGAAGGAAAGCUAAACAUGCAAAUCGGGCAGGCGGCUGAGGAUCGUAAAAGGACGAGCAGGGUGCAAUAUACACAGGGAGGAAAACAAAGAGAGAUGAGUCCUGACAGCAGAGAAAUUAUACCUGGCUUCAUGUGAGGGCACAGACCUGGCCCUGGCUGCCCCAAGAUCACUGCACACUGCCAGCCAAGCUGUUCUCAUGCUUAAUUUACAGCCUGCAAGGUUCAUGCACCACCUAAUGAAAAAUCGCGAUGGGAACUUUGCAGGAGAAAGUAGGACAGUUGGCACAUUAUUCACAUUUCAGCAGAGGAGGGGAGAGCUCCUUUUGCCUCGAGAACUGACCUCAUGGUGGUUUGACCUGCACAGAGGGCUGUCAUCGGGGCUUUAUGAUCAUUCCAAUUUGGAUUGUAACGUUAUGCUGAAAGUAACACUGGACUCUAUUAUCUUGCUUUGCCCUUUCCAUAAUUCAACGCCAUGUUUGCAGCAUAGCAGCAGUUCGAGGAGUUUGAGAAGUUUUGGUGGAGGUAGUCCAGCCUCGAUGCUGAGCAUUGCUCAGCAGCAUCGUUCACUCUGGAUACAUCUCACGUGUGGGAAAAACAAUAAGAAUUACCUCAAGAUUACUCAUGUCCUCAAUUAGAAAUUGUUUUUCUCCUGUGACUUGUGUUGUUGGUAGCUGAAAUGGCUGUUCACACUACAAGUGGCCUUUUAUUCACCUGCCUUCAAGCACCCAGAGGCACCAACCAACUCCUUCCCUCCUUCCAUGAGGUUCUCUCUCUCUCUGUGGCUGAUAUUACCAAACUGAUAUCUUUAUUCUCACUGAUUUCAGGUGAAGCUUCUUUCUCCCCGUGAGUACCCAUCAGUCACUUCUCCAUUCAAGAGGCAGAACAUUGCUACCCAGACCUGCAUCUAAAAAGUACGAUUUUCUUGACAACACCAGUUGUUUCUCGCAGUCCACGUUCAGAAGGUCCCAUGGACAGAAUUACACUUUAUCCACUUGAACUUUCAUAGUUUCCAGAAGUUCAUACGAUCUUUUCCAAACUCCCCAUGUUACACAAUUUCCUUGUUCUUUGGAGCAACCUCUCAGGCAGAAGGGUAUUACUAUAUCUAUAGCUGUAGUCCCAGGUAAUUGAAUUCUCCUCUUCCUCUACAAUUUGGCUCUGAAUCACGUUCUUUUUAAAUAAUAAAGUAAAAU